rnacentral:rRNA from 1 species
GAUGAACGCUGGCGGCGUGCUUAACACAUGCAAGUCGAACGGGAAACCUUUUAUUGAAGCUUCGGCAGAUUUAGCUGGUUUCUAGUGGCGGACGGGUGAGUAACGCGUGGGUAACCUGCCCUAUACAGGGGGAUAACAACCAGAAAUGGUUGCUAAUACCGCAUAAGCGCACAGGGCCGCAUGGUCCGGUGUGAAAAACUCCGGUGGUAUAGGAUGGAACCGCGUUGGAUUAGCCAGUUGGCAGGGUAACGGCCUACCAAAGCGACGAUCCAUAGCCGGCCUGAGAGGGUGAACGGCCACAUUGGGACUGAGACACGGCCCAGACUCCUACGGGAGGCAGCAGUGGGGAAUAUUGCACAAUGGGGGAAACCCUGAUGCAGCGACGCCGCGUGAAGGAAGAAGUAUCUCGGUAUGUAAACUUCUAUCAGCAGGGAAGAUAGUGACGGUACCUGACUAAGAAGCCCCGGCUAACUACGUG